AGAUUGAACGCUGGCGGCAUGCCUAACACAUGCAAGUCGAACGGGAGUAGCAAUACUCUAGUGGCGGACGGGUGAGGAAUACGUAGGAAUUUGCCCUUAAGUGGGGGAUAACCCGGGGAAACCCGGAUUAAUACCGCAUGACCUCGAAAGAGCAAAGUGGGGGAUCGCAAGACCUCACGCUUUUGGAGAAGCCUACGUCGGAUUAGCUAGUUGGUGAGGUAAUGGCUCACCAAGGCGACGAUCCGUAACUGGUCUGAGAGGAUUGAAUCAGUCACACCGG
rnacentral:rRNA from 1 species